UCUACGGGAGGCAGCAGUGGGGAAUUUUCCGCAAUGGGCGAAAGCCUGACGGAGUGACGCCGCGUGUGGGACGAAGGCCUUCGGGUCGUAAACCACUGUCAGUGGGAAAGAAGGGUGUCGGUGCGAAUACCACCGGCAUUUGACGGUACCUGCAGAGGAAGCCCCGGCCAACUCUGUGCCAGCAGCCGCGGUAAGACAGAGGGGGCAAGCGUUGCUCGGAACUACUGGGCGUAAAGGGCGCGUAGGCGGGAUGGCAAGUCGGUCGUGAAAUCCUUCGGCUCAACCGAAGAACGUCGAUCGAUACUGCUGUUCUUGAGGGUUGCAGAGGAGACUGGAAUUCCCGGUGUAGCGGUGAAAUGUGUAGGGAUCGGGAGGAACACCGGUGGCGAAGGCGGGUCUCUGGGCAACUCCUGACGCUGAGGCGCGAAAGCGUGGGGAGCAAACGGGAUUAGAUACCCCGGUAGUCCACGCUGUAAACGAUGACGACUAGGUGUGGGGGGGUUCAGUCCCCUCCGUGCCGCAGCUAACGCAUUAAGUCGUCCGCCUGGGGAGUACGGCCGCAAGGUUGAAACUCAAAGGAAUUGACGGA
rnacentral:rRNA from 1 species